rnacentral:rRNA from 1 species
CGUAUGUCGCAAGCGUUAUCCGGAUUUAUUGGGCGUAAAGCGCGUCUAGGCGGUUUGGUAAGUCUGAUGUGAAAAUGCGGGGCUCAACUCCGUAUUGCGUUGGAAACUGCCAAACUAGAGUACUGGAGAGGUAGGCGGAACUACAAGUGUAGAGGUGAAAUUCGUAGAUAUUUGUAGGAAUACCGAUGGGGAAGCCAGCCUACUGGACAGAUACUGACGCUAAAGCGCGAAAGCGUGGGUAGCAAACAGGAUU